GGUUUUUCUAGGAAAUACAUUUAAGUCAUUUGAUACUUGUGACGAGAUAACCUUAGCUACAGUGAUGAAAAAUAUGGCAUAACACUUUCCUGAAAACAGUCAACCAUGGAAUUUGCAAGAAUUUGUCCCAUCCAUAAUUCAAAGAGUGCGAAACUCAUCACUCCAUACAAAAGAACUGAGACCAGUAUAAAUCAUGCGUUGCCACCAUCACCUUUCUCUUCAGUUGUUUCCAAUGCUGGUUUUUUUGAAAUGCUUGCUUCUGUCGUGCUAGUAUUUGAUGAUCGCUUAACUCCUCUCCCUACCACACCAAGAUGUGUGACUCCAGCAGAUCCAUUGGUGUGAGCGGUUGAAAUGGUUGGAGAGUCAAAACUUCCACUGCUGUUCUCCGUAGCCAACUGCGAGGAGCUCACUCUUGCUAGAGAUGGUUCUUUUCCACUGCCUGCCUUGGCAGAUGCUAGAAUCUCAGCGAGAAUUGAUUUUGGGUUUGCAAUUAACUGCUGUAGAUCUUCAAGCUGCAAUUCCAUACAUUCCACGUUAUAUCAAAAUAACAUAAGACAAAUAAGCAUCUUAAUUUUUUUAAAACAAAAUUUACCUUCUUUUCCAGUUCACUUGAGAGACCUGCGAGAAUUUCAAUUUCUGCUUGUUUAUCCGCAAUUGAGUUAUUAGUCUCGGAAGAUGUCGACUCUGAAAAACUCUUCACUUCAUUUGUGAGACGAUCUAUGCGUGCCUUACAAACAGAUGUAGCCUUCUCCAAAUAAGCAACGGCUUCCUCAGGUUUUGAACUAACCUCCAAACACAAGCAUAUACGGAAAUUUCUUAUUUCAGAAGUUAAGGCAGUCUAGCAAUGGAAGAGCACAAUUGAUCAUCUUAAAUUGGAGAAAUUAUUAAUAAG
rnacentral:lncRNA from 1 species